AAGUCGUAACAAGGUUUCCGGAGGUGAACCUGCGGAAGGAUCAUUAACACGUAUCCAACGUUAAACCCCCCUGUGAACCUUCAUUGUGCUCCCCAUUCCGUUAGGACGCGGCAAUCCCUGGUAAAUCGCCGAACAGUUUGGCAUUCCUCUGCUUGUUGGUGUCUGAAAGUGUCGUAAGAAUGGCGCAGUAACGAUCGCUAGAGGCCGACACGGCCGGCGACCGGGUCACCGUAUCACCUUUGCAUGAAAACGGGCCUGCGCUUAAUUGUGCGGCCACCAAACUCGAACAACUGUUACUUGGAUCUCGCGAUGAAGAACGCAGC
rnacentral:misc_RNA from 1 species